AACGCGAAGAACCUUACCUGGGCUUGAACUACUCGUGGUAGAUCGAUGGAAACAUUGGUCGACCCGCAAGGGAGCGAGCAGAGGUGCUGCAUGGUUGUCGUCAGCUCGUGUCGUGAGAUGUUGGGUUAAGUCCCGCAACGAGCGCAACCCCUACUCGAUGUUGCUAAUUCCGUAAGGAAUGCACUCUUCGAGAACUGCCUUCGAUAAGAAGGAGGAAGGUGGGGACGACGUCAAAUCCUCAUGGCCCUUAUGUCCAGGGCUACACACGUGCUACAAUGGCCGGUACAACGGGAAGCAAGGCCGCAAGGCGGAGCAAAACCCUAAAAGCCGGCCCCAGUUCAGAUCGUGGGCUGCAACUCGCCCACGUGAAGGCGGAAUCGCUAGUAAUCGCGAAUCAGCAGGUCGCGGUGAAUACGUUCCCGGGCCUUGUA
rnacentral:rRNA from 1 species